UUUACUCUGACAGUAGUUACCUGAAAAUACAUGGUUAAGGCAUAUCCCCUACCCUGACCCAGUUAGGUCUGAUCUUCUGGAGACUAAUGCUGUCCCUCUUUUCACUUCCAGAAAGAGCUGUCCCAGGCAUGGCAGGGCUUACUUCUUCAGCCUGGAGGGACUCGAGGAAGAUGAUUGCAACAACGGCUCUUGUAGUUGAUUGGCACGCCUGUCCUCAUCUGCUUACAUCAUGGAAUGUGCCCAAAGAAGGGCAGCAAAGCUGGUGAGGGAUCUUAUGGGAAGUGGCUGAGAGAUCUGGGAUUAUUUGGUCUGGAGAAGAGGAGGCUCAGGGGAGACCUUAUUGCUCUUUACAGCUCCCUGAAAGGAGGUUGUGGUGAGGUAGAGGUCAGCCUUUUUUCCCAGGUAACGAUAGGAUGAGAGGUAACGGCCUCAAGUUGAGACAGUAGAGGUUCAGGUUGGAUAUUAAGAAAAAUUUAUUCUCUGAAAUAGUGGUGAGGCAGUGGCACAGGCUGCCCAGGGAGACAGUGGAGUCACCAUCCCUAGAAGUGUUCAAGAACCACGUGGAUGUGGCACUGAGGGACGUGGUUAGUGGGCAUGGUGGGGAUGGGCUCACAGUUGGACUACAUGAUCUUAAAGGUAAUUUCCAGUCUUAACGAUUCUGUGAUUCCAUGUUUCUCUCUGUGCUUGAUCAGAGAUUUCUUCUUUUGUAUGCUGGGUGUUAAUUCAGUUGUCUGUGGUGCUCUUGAAGCAAGAUCUGAAAUACUCUCUAAAACAAAACUAAAAAAGACCCCUUUUUUAAAAAAUAUUUUUCCUGGGGUACAAGAACCUCACAGGUGUAGUUUAGGGGACUUUCAAAUGAAGUGUCACACUGUCCCAAUUGGAAAGGGAGCAAAUUCUCCAUAACAGGUGAUGGAAAGCUGUGGAUGUGAGAUCUUCCUCUUGUGGGCUGCAAUUGGGACACAGUACUUGAUUGCAAUAUAUCUGUGAUAGAGGUGGGCUGCAAAUCCAACAGCUUCAACAGGGUACGAUGCUGUCCAGGAGGGCAAGCAGGAGAAUGGAUGAAGUUAAAAUCACAUCUGAGACAUUUUAUCCAUUUUCCGAGCCUCAAGUGAGCUUGAGGCACAUCCUUCUUUUCUACUCAGCAGCAUAUGGAACUAGAACACUUGCUCCUGCUCUAAAGAAACCUAGGUUUGCAGUUAGCCCCAAGGUCUUGUCAGCUAGCAUAACCUGCAGAGGCAUUUAUAGGAAGAUAUAAUUGCUUUAACUGUACUGACAGGAGGAUUUUUGCCUAUCAAGCUGUAGGGAAGGAGAGUUGCUCAGUGUAAGCUUACUACUCUCCCUAUGUGCUGGAGGUAGGUGACUAGUUGGCACCUUUCAGAAAGUUUAAAUGAAAUCUACAUUGAAUUUUCUAUCAAGAAAAUAGGCCACUGAUUAAUAUUUAUGGUUGGAGAAAAUAAAAUUGCCCUGUCAAACUGCAGUAAACAGAAGAAAACACCUUGUAUUUACGGAUUGUAUUUGAGAAUUCAAAUGAGGGUUCUCCAUCUUAAAUGCCUUUUGACACCUCCGAGCUGACAGGUAAUACUAAGAAGCAAUUAGGCUGCUGGGAGUAGUACCUUUGUAAUCUAAUCCGGUGAUAAAUGCAGAAGUCUGUCUCAUGUCUCUGUAGAGCCUUAAGCUUUUUCUGUGGGUGCUUUUCCUAGUAAGCUGCUUAAUGUAAGUAUCUGAACUGUCCGGCAAUUUUUGCAUUCCUUCUGACUAAAACUUCAUUGUUCCCUUUGCCUUAUUUCCAAAUAUAUAUCGAAGUUUCUCAUCUAUUGUAACUUCCUGGCCGGAAUGUCAGGUCAUGCUUUUUCACCUAUUUGCGUGCAUGGAUUUUCUGUUUGCCUAUCACUAUGCUCACAGUCAGAUAUUUAUACCAUUUUUUAUAAGGACACGUUAAAUCUUUUCUUCUUGUUGUUUAAAUAAAAUGUAUUUUAAAUAUAUAACUUUCAAGGGGAUCCCUGACUGUACAUAGCUGAAUACUGAGAGAUUAUAAUGCUAAACUGCUCGAGAUAAGGGUGGUUGUCUUAGUUGAGGUCGGUCCUGUAGAGUGCUGUCCAAUUCCUGCCUGGAAUAGGGCUACCAUAACCUUAGUUUAUUUUACGUUACAUUUUUUAUAUAUGAAAAAGCCUACACUGUUUUACUUGUAUUUAUAUUAAAUAUAGAUAUGCUAUAGAUCAGUGUGAUCCUCAGUUGCACGCAUUGCUCUCCUCAUCCAAACCGAAAUACAAUGAAAUAUUUCAUAGCAAUAAUUACAGAAUGCUCUAACAAGAGGCUUAUUCCUGUACAGAAUGACUUCAAAUGAAUAGAAGCCAUUAAAAAAAAUAUAGUCUGUGAUAAUAGGCUGUGAUUACAGAAUGAGCAAAAAUGUCAGAGUUGUAUCUCUUGUUAGACUGCACACUUGAUUUACAACUUAUCAUCCAGCAGCUAUUUUAAGAUCUGCCAGUAAUCAAGCUGAAAAAUUGGGAAUUAAGUCAGUGCACAGAUGUUCUCUCUGUACGCCCCUCCAAGAGGUUGUUGGAUGAAUGGGUGCAAAAUACCCUUUUGACUGGAUUUGAUUUCUUGCACAGAGAGAUACAAUAUGCUCCUAUGCUGCAGGAAGAGGGACCUGUUUGAUUUCAGUUUGUUAUUUCUACCCAGCAGAUGUAUGACGUUGUUUUAAUUAAAAGAGAUCGUGAAGUAGGAAACACCUACGUUUACUGCCAUGCUCACAUUAUUUAAACCUUGCCUUUGGAAGUCUGAAAUUUUAGGUAAAAAUAGGGGGUUAGAAAGUGGCUACUGAGUGCUAUGCCUUGGUUGCCUGGUGAGAACUGUUUCUGCAAAAUGCACUUCUUAACUUUUCUGCUUCCUCGUCAAGAAAAUUAGCGGCACUGAAAUGCUAAAGCUCUUUGCUCAUCCUGUGGAGCAGUGAGACCCAUCAGCUGUAUUUCCUCUCCUGGUCAACACAGUGAGACCUUGGGGGUACCAGUUUGUCACUGUCUUGUACUGACCCAUGGGUUAGCAAACACUCAUUUCAUAUGCCUUGUAGUGAGCUAAUGUGGAGCAUAAAGAAGGUUGUAAAAAAAAAAUAUCAUGGGAAGAGCUCAGUUGUUCCUUUCCGUGGCUGCAAGCCAUUAGAGCUUGGCUUAACGAGAUUGCAAAUCAAACCACCAGUUUUUUGAGUAAGCCUGAGUGCAGGGAUGUUCUUUUUUUGCUUUCCAGUGGAGAUGACGUCUGUGUUGUGGUGUUUCUUGUGAUUACAGCUUAUUACCAAAACAGCCUUACUGCUGGUAUUGGAGUGACAAGUUGGGAAGAGAGAGACCAAGAGAUGGGAGGGAAAGGUUUUAUUAAGUUACAUCCAAACCUCAGUUUUAACAUCAAGUUAAUGUUUGAUGGGGAUUUUAGCUACUUGGGAGGGGCCUGACUUUCUCUUUGAGAUAAUCUUGAGAAAGAAAAUCUUGCAUCUUGAAUGCAGUUUGUGUUUUGUUUGGUAUGGUGCACACCAUACUGGUGUUGGACUCUCUGCCAACUGAUCUCAGAAUUAUACAGAGGUUUUAAUUCGGCUUUUUCUAUUGAAAAUUGUAGGAGCUAUAAAAGAACACGAUGCUGCAUUGGUGUAGUUGACCAGGGUGGAAGAAAAGUGAAGUGGAAGUGUCAGGGAAAGCAAAGUGAGAGGGUAUGGAGAAGAAGCCACAGCGCAGAUUCUCCUCUCAAGGAAAUGAGGGUCCAAAUUUCUUCUGUCUAGACCUGAACUUCUUAUUAGUCAGGCUGACCUGGGUGGGAACACAUGGAAACUGUGCUCAGGGAAAAGGAAGAAAACAAGAGAAAUCUUAAUUUCCUUCUUCCAGAGUAGUAUGGCUUACAGCACAGUUGAAUGUGUUUCAGGGACGGUACAUUUGUAGAUUAAGAUAAAAUAAGAUGCAACUGUCCUGCGUGCUACAGCAUAAGCUCUGACAUCUUCAGCAGUGGUAUCUGUGCCAAAUCCUUGGCUUCUUUUUGGAUGUGACCUCUGACAAAAGCGUUCAGUUCAGUUCAUAAAAGACUGAAUACAAUUUUCAGAAAUGUUUAGGACAGUAUUUAAAGAUGAAAUUUAGGCAGUUAAGCAUCAUGGGAAAUCAGUGAUUUUGAGAAUUAGGAAAUCUCAUUCUCCAGCUGAUCUAAUUCUUUUUUUCUCUGUCGGCUAUUCCAGUAGAAGAUUGCUUUAAUGACUAAUUGUUUCCAGGCUGAAAUUCUAGCUUCAACUCCCAGCCAUUUUGUCUACUAAUUAAGUUUCAUCCCUCAGAAUAUUCUUCAUUGUAUCGGAGCUUCUGGAGUCUGAUCCUGUCAUCUCUUAGCUCUUCCCAUUAAAGGCUGAGCCCAGCAGCAAACAGGCUUUGCUGAUCACCAGGUUUUGCUCCAGCUGCUGUUCUCUGGGCGGAUGGAGGGACGAUGAUGAAUGACUGUCCUCCUGCCCCAGCAAAAGCAGAGGUAGGUCCUUGCAGUUGUUACCUGUCAGAUGUCCACUGAUGCUGACCACUCAUGUUGUACUUUGGAAUUGGUAAUAGAGACAGACAGGUUUUAGUGUGCGCUGAGAAGCUCUGAAUCAAUGAUACCAAGGGGAUGGGCGAUCUUCCUUGACUUCCAGCAAAUCUAGCACAGCGACAUAAAUCAAUGUUCCACCUGCAGGCAAUAAGGCAGGUUUGUGUGUGCAUGUGCAAGCAAUAAACAAAACACUGUUGGAUGUCCAGGAGCAGUGUUUGCAUCUCAGGCUACUGAUCUGAACUGGUGCUUCUCAGGGCUGUCGCUUUGCUUAGGGAACAUCCCCCAAAAUUAUUCUUGUCUACCUCCAACCUGUAACAUAUUGUGGUUCCUGUUUUUCUGAACAAGAUAACGUACUGGAAUAGAUUUGUACAACGUGUUGGUAAACCUGUAGAGGUGUGAGGGAAAGACAUAAAAAGGUAGUCUCUAAGUCAGAGAUUGAUGGGAGCUCAGAGGGCAAGUGGAGGAAAUAGUACUGUGUUAAUCUCAUUUCUUUGAUCCUUCCUUGAGCACUUGCUGUUGUUGAAGUCUGGAUGCUGGGUUAGAUCAUCCUCUGGUCCCUGCUGGCUAAUGGUUUUCAGCUGGAAUACCCUGGAUGGCUCUCGUCACAGGUGGACAAAUAUGUGGAUGCACAGAGAACAGCUGCAGUGUACCUGCAAAGUCAUCUGUUUAACAUCAUGCAUAAAACGUGAAAGAAGGGGUGGUCGAUUUUGAUAUUACAAUGGCAUACAGCUGCAGAAAGUUGUUUAGAUUUCUGGCUUUCAUCUGGAAAGAUGAAAAAAUGAGCAUAGAAUAGGGCAGGAAAAUAACUUUUUAUAUUAUUAUUAAUAGAAAUCUAACGCCUUUAGGGAUCAAAUGCCACAUGCUACUUAAGGAAUUUUCUGCCUAUCUAAAAUAGCUACAGAUAUAGAGGGGGAAAAAAAGCCAGCAUUUUCAAUCGUAUCUUGGGUAGAUGCAGCAUCUUUGACAUUCUGGUGCCUCCUCAUUGCACAGUCCCAGAGGAUAGGCUUCUGAAGAAAACAAAUUUUUAUGGACUACUGAAAACAUGCCAUGGAAUUUUCCACUGGUAUGAAUGCAGUGAUCUUUGCUAUGCAUCUGAAUUUAGAUCUUUAUCAGCAGUGCUUGGAGAGAGGCUUCUAUGAAUUUCUUGAUAUCCUCACCUGGCACAAAAGGGAGUCUUGGUUGAAGAUAGGUUAGUGGUAGGAUAGGAUGAGAGGUAAUGGCCUUAAAUUGUGACAGAGGAAGUUCAGGUUGGAUAUUAGGGAAAAUUUCUUCUCAGAAAGAGUGGUGAGGCAUGGGAAUGGGCUGCCCAGGGAGGUGGUGGGGUCACCAUCCCUGGAGGUGUUCAAGAACUGUGUGGAUGCGGCACAUCAUGGAUGAGAGACAUCAUUUAGUGGACAUGGUGGGGAUGGGCUGAUGGUUGGACUGGGUGAUCCUAGAGGUCUUAUCCAAACUUAGCAAUUCCGUGAUUCUAUGAUGUGGUACCUUGGGUGGUACCUCCAUCGCAAGAUAAGAGGUGAUAAUAAGCAGUGACUUGUUCAACCAGGGAACUGGUUGCACUGAGAGAUGUGACAGGAACCGACCCCGCCAUUUUUGUUAGUGCUGGUGCUAUACUUGUUUUGUGACCCAUUCCAUGUGGCUGAUGAGGUGCUCCUCCUGUGCCAUGCAGAACUGAGCCAGGCAGAAGUGAGCAGCGCCCUCAAAGCAAGGACCAUGGAGUAACUUUCCUGACAGAAAGAAAAGCAUCCAUUUUAAGAUAUUCUUUUUCCUCGCAAAGUUAUCUACAUCUGGCAAAAUUAGAGGUCAUUUCAUGGGGUGACACAGAGGAUGUGUCCAAGCCCAGGUGAAGCUGACCGUUGGGCCCCCCUGAGGCAGCUGGCUGUGCUCUGGCUGUGCCUGAACCUUUGGCCUCUCUGUGGAGGACUGCGCUGUGCCCAGUCAGCUCGGCUCUCUGAGUCAGCGCCUGGAGCACGAGCUUCCUGAGGAAAGCCAGAGAUGGCAGCAGGACAAGUUCCCUGCUGGUUCCCGUGUUCCGGUUUCCUCCUCUUGGCAGAACAGAAUUUGAUUUUUUUUUCUCACCACUAUUAUGGGCUGCGAAGAACAGCUCUUAAAUUAGCCCUGAGGAGGUGGAAAGGUAGAAGCGAGCUCACUGUGGGGAGUUGGGUUUGACGCAUGCACCAGGCACACAUUCUACCUGACCUGACUGAUGAGCUGUGCUGCAUGCAGGCUCCUCUCUUCAGCUUGUUUUUGUUGUUUUAAUUAACUUCUGGCUGCCGUGCCAAAUGCUUGUCCUGCGUCUUUCCAGCUGCUGCUGUGCAGUUAGUGGUGACUCUCAGCCAGAUCCCAGCUCAGGUGGCACGGCUGCAUUUUGGGAACGCCCCAUGGAUCUCAAGGCCUGUGGGAAGGCAUGCAGCAGCCAGUGCUUGCUAAGUGUCCCCUGGGGAGGCAGACAGGGCCGAUGAGCUGGGCCCGUGUGCAGACAAGGAGCUGAUAAGGGCCUGGUAUGUGAGGUGGUACUCUGAGGGCCCCCCCGGGGUGAGACUGGGCCUUCUUCAGCACCCAGCACUGCAGAGCUUUGGUGUUGUUCCAGAGGGAGAGAUGCCCUCUGGGGUGCUUCAGCCUUUGUGCAGGGCCACACAGCACAGCAACAGCAGCAAAUCAGUGCUGGUUUUUGUUAAUGAAAUGAGAAACUGGGUUAAGUACCUCAGGCGAUGCAAUCCCAGGGGCUGCUGUGAGGCUGUCAUUGCCGGAGAGGCUGUCAGCUGCAAAAGGGCACAGCUGCCUUGCAACAACGAACCUAACAGCAUUAUAAAUAACUCCUUGUUACUAGAAAAUAAAUGGCAAGAUAAAAAUUGUUUUUCUGCUCUAGUUUUCUUCCUUUGGGGCAGCAACAGAGCAAUUUGGUUUUUUUUUUGCAGGGGCCAAAAGCAGCAAAAGGAAUGGGCAACAGGCAGGGCGAGCACGUAGGAGAAGAGAGAGUUGCAUGAGCAAUAGAAAGCUGGUGCUGGCUCCUGCUGGGUCCACUCAGGUGCCCACAUUCAGGGUGGACACACUUCCUUCAGGACAAGAUGAGGACAGGUAUAUUUAUGCAGUGUGAAAGUAGCUUCUAAAACUACUGUAGUGCACAAUGCCUUGAAAUUGACUGCUGUCACCACAGGCAAGAGAGAGUGCUGCUGAAUAUGUGUGACAUGUAACUGCCUGGUAGCUGCUUACUGCACUAGCCCUGACCCCUGAAGGGAAUACAGGGGUUUAGUGACUGGUCUGAGUCCAACUGAAGUGCCUUUCAGAUGCAUCAGAGCUGCUCUUGUUCAGUAUCAUACUCUCCCAGCUCCUGGCUACAGCAACACAUUUUCUUGAUUAAAAGUGCUGGAGCCUCUCAUAUUUUAAUCUGUUUGUUGAACCUGACUGGCAGUAUUUAAUGGCUCUGGUUGUGGGUCACCAUCUGUAUUUGGUUUAGUAAAUGCUUGAUGUUAUCUGUUGUCUGCAAGGAUAGUAACUGUGGGUUUCUACAGUGAGUGACAUCUCUGAAACUGCUUUUCUGAGCAGUGCCCCGUCUGCCCUAUGUUAAUUGUAGGACAGGAAUUGGGAUGUCUCUCUCCAAUGCAGAAAUGGUACUGGACCAGGUAGUGAGUUAUUGGGCACAGCAAUGAAGAUGAAUCGGGCACAAUGAGAAGUGAAAGAGCAGUAGAAAAUAGAGGAAAGCUGACACCUACAGAAUAACCUUUUCCAUUGCAAGUGUUGGGUGGAGGCUUUCUUCUGUGGUUGGGUGAGGGCAGAGUUACUUAUGUUUGUAGAGCAGCCUCUUCUGCUUAAAUGUUCAAGUGACAGUAAAUGC
rnacentral:lncRNA from 1 species